rnacentral:rRNA from 1 species
UACGUAGGGGGCUAGCGUUGUCCGGAUUUAUUGGGCGUAAAGAGCGUGUAGGCGGCCAGAUAGGUCUGCUGUGAAAACUCGAGGCUCAACCUCGAGAUGUCGGCGGAAACCAUUUGGCUAGAGUCCGGAAGAGGAAAGUGGAAUUCCUGGUGUAGUGGUGAAAUGCGUAGAGAUCAGCAGGAACACCCGUGGCGAAGGCGGCCCCCUGGGCCGAACCUGACGCUGAGGCGCGAAGGCUAGGGGAGCGAACGGG